GUGACAUGACUUCCUGUAGUCACUUCUUUUGGGCAGUACAGAAAAUGUUUGUCCAGUACUUCUCUGUGAUCGUUUGUCACAGCGACCUCAAGCUCGCUACUCAUUGAAUUGAAUUAUUUUUCACCUUAUCUGAGAUACUUUGGGACACUUUGGAUAGAAAAUGUUUGUAGUAAAGUUUGGGAUUUUCUGCAUUUGUCUCCUGUGUUGCUGUAAUAGGAGUGAAGCCAAAGAACUCGUGGUCAAGAACAGGACUAGCGUGGCAUUAGCAGGAGAAACGCUCAGCAUUAACAUCAUGGUCACUGUCCCAGUCAACAGCAGUGGAACAAAAGUUUCUUGCAAAUAUAAAAACAUAGAGGUGUGGAGGCACACAUUUAAACAUGUGUAUUCUGUUCCUACACCCAUGUGGCUGUGGGCUAAUAUCUCCAUGCCUAACAGCUCCUUCAGUGGGGAGUACAGCUUCAAUUACCAAGCAUCAGUGCUUCCCUGGCUGGUUCUUGUACGAGAUGUGGGUUAUGUCAAGCCGGGUGAACCUCUACACAGUGAUGUCAUCGCUUUGCUGACUGUCACCCUCAUUUUAGUCCUUUUCAGCAUUAUCGGAUCAGUUUUCGUAGUCAGAUGGCACAAGGCUCCUCCUCAGACAGAGGUAAAAGAAGAUGGAGUAAAAGGCAGAGAAAGACAGAGCAGUGUCGGUGUAACCACUCAGGUUGCACACUCUGAAUCGGUGUACUCGUCGCUGGAACCCAGACCGGUCUCUAUUUAUGAUGUGCUGAAUGUCGACCAGGUCAGACGGGAAAGCACAGAGAAGCGCACCUCACAGGAAACGGUUGGUAAAGCUCUAGAGUCAGGAUGAGUUAGCAAACUUCACAUUGGUCAUUUAAACAGUGACAGUGUGACAGUAUACUGUGACUGAUAGUUGUGAAAUAUACUCUCAGAUGCUCUUAAAUAACACACACUGUUUCUCUUUCAGGCCAAGACAUCUCAGGCAGAAGAAGGAGUUUUUGAAUCUGUCUAUGAAAACCUGUGAAAGCUGUGAUUAAAUUCUAAUGUUAUGUAUGUAUGUAUGUAUGUAUGUAUGUAUGUACAGUUGGUAUGUCUAGGAAGCAUGUGUAUGGUCCCAGAAUCUGAAAACUUUUAUAUAUUAAUAUUUUGUCAACAUGCACAUAAAUAAAUAAAAGUCAACUAAUUUUCUACCUGGCCUA
rnacentral:lncRNA from 1 species